UGGCCAAUGGUUAUUGGCAAGUUCUCCGACUUUAUGAAAUUAGAACAUGGUUUCCCUCUCCUGCAUUUUCGUUUUCCUCCAAAAGAACCCUCCCACAACUCCCAAUCUGAAACCCCCAGGUGGUGGCGUAACGGUGGACGCUUGUGGCUGGUGGCGAUGCAGCGGCGUGACGGUGGCAGUAACGGUGGUUCGAGGCAAGUUGCGCGACCUUGCUCCAAAUUUGCACGACGCAGUGGUGGUGCCAGCUUCACGGUGGUGGUGUGAGGCUUCAUGGUAGUGGCACGAGGGUGGCUUCGCGGUGGCGCGAAGGUGUUGUAAGGCUGCUUGUGAUUUGCAUGACGGUGGUGGCGUGAGCGCGAUGAUGAUGGCGCAAGGUUGGUGCGAAGGUGGCCACCGCGUCACGGUGGCUGCUAGUGGUGGAGGAUUCCUUGUUGCUGGUUGUCGGUGGCAGACACAUCACAAUGCUUGCUCGUGGUGGAGGAUUCAUGACUGUUGGGUGACGGUGGUCGCUGCAUAACGGUGGAGGUAUAGCAGAAGUUUGUGCAUGCUACCACUUCGUCGAGGGAGAACUGUUAGUUGCCUCACAUACCAUCGAGGUGCUUACAGUAGUUGGAAGAAACCUAUGUAUCAAAUGAAGGCACUGGAACCCAAAGAAAGCAAGAAAAACAGCAAAAAAAGUGAAUUCUGGAAUGUUGUCGCUGAGUUGCCGCCGGGCUACCGCUUGAGCUCUCUACUCUCUGGAAGCCUGUCGUUGAGCUGUCGCUGGGCUAUCGCCUGAGCUCUCUACUCUCUGGAAGGCUGCCGUUGGGCUACCGCCUGAGCGGUGGCGUCGCUGAUGUGGCAAAAUCUGAGUUAUUUAGGGCUGAAAAGUGAGGGCUUGGUAUCUUUUGCUACCCAGACGCAUUUUCUCUGCUUGGGAGCUCUUGGAGGCGAGCUAGGAGGACUGAGAACAAUCCAUCUUCUUCCUUGGAUUCUCUUCUUUCUUCCAUUUCCACCAUUGUUGUAGGCUUGAGCUCUCCAUUCAUGGAGAGCUAGUUUCAU